rfam:Myotis lucifugus cont2.2907, whole genome shotgun sequence.
GGCAGUUCUCGGGUGACGCACCCCAGAAUCGGGCUCCCUCCUCUCUGGUUCCUGGGGCGCAUCACCUGCA